rnacentral:rRNA from 1 species
GAGUGGCGAACGGGUGAGUAACACGUGGGUAAUCUGCCCUGCACUCUGGGAUAAGCCUUGGAAACGGGGUCUAAUACCGGAUAUCACUACUUCAGGCAUCUGGGGUGGUUGAAAGUUCUGGCGGUGCAGGAUGAACCCGCGGCCUAUCAGCUUGUUGGUGGGGUAGUGGCCUACCAAGGCGACGACGGGUAGCCGGCCUGAGAGGGUGACCGGCCACACUGGGACUGAGACACGGCCCAGACUCCUACGGGAGGCAGCAGUGGGGAAUAUUGCACAAUGGGCGAAAGCCUGAUGCAGCGACGCCGCGUGAGGGAUGACGGCCUUCGGGUUGUAAACCUCUUUCGCCAGGGACGAAGCGCAAGUGACGGUACCUGGAUAAGAAGCACCGGCUAACUACGUGCCAGCAGCCGCGGUAAUACGUAGGGUGCGAGCGUUGUCCGGAUUUAUUGGGCGUAAAGAGCUCGUAGGCGGUUUGUCGCGUCGGCCGUGAAAACUCAACGCUUAACGUUGAGCUUGCNGGUCGAUACGGGCAGACUUGAGUUCGGUAGGGGAGACUGGAAUUCCU